rnacentral:tRNA from 1 species
GCCAGCAUGGUGUAGUGGUUUGAGUGUUGAACUAUGACUCUGGAGUCCAGGGUUCGAUUCCCAGCUUGGCC